GGUGCCCUGCUGUGCGCGUGAUGCUGCACCCCGGUUUUGAGCCAACACUCUUUAAAAGGGUCUCAAUCUUCAGGGAAGGACGCGAUAGGCUCCGGCCAAGGCGGAACUCCCGAGGCGGGACCCAACCUGCGAAGGCAGGUUCAAAACUUUGCUGCACACGGUAUGGCGGGGUUUUU
rnacentral:other from 1 species